AGGAUUAACGCUGGCGGCGUGCAUAAAACAUGCAAGUCGAGCGCGGUAUCUAGGCUUCGGUUUAGAUAUCUAGCGGCGAACGGGUGAGUAACACGUGAGAAACCUACCUUAGAGCCCGGGAUAGCUCUGGGAAACCAGAAUUAAUACCGGAUGUGGUUGCGACGAGACAUCUCGACGUAAGUAAAGGGGCAACCCACUCAAUGACGGUCUCGCGGUCUAUUAGCUUGUUGGUGGGGUAACGGCCUACCAAGGCGAUGAUGGAUAGCUGGUCUGAGAGGACGAUCAGCCACACUGGGACUGAGACACGGCCCAGACUCCUACGGGAGGCAGCAGUUAGGAAUUUUCCGCAAUGGGCGAAAGCCUGACGGAGCAACGCCGCGUGAGUGAUGAAGACCGUUAGGGUUGUAAAGCUCUGUCGGAGGGAAGAAGUAAUGACGGUACCCUCCAAGAACGCCCGGCUAACUACGUGCCAGCAGCCGC
rnacentral:rRNA from 1 species